UAAUACAGAGGGUGCGAGCGUUGUCCGGAAUCACUGGGCGUAAAGGGCGCGUAGGCGGCUUGAUAAGUAGGGGGUGAAAUCUUGCGGCUCAACUGCAAGGCUGCCUCCUAAACUGUCAGGCUUGAGCACAGUAGAGGCAGGUGGAAUUCCCGGUGUAGCGGUGGAAUGCGUAGAGAUCGGGAAGAACAUCGGUGGCGAAGGCGGCCUGCUGGGCUGUUGCUGACGCUGAGGCGCGACAGCGUGGGGAGCAAACAGGAUUAGAUACCCUGGUAGUCCACGCCGUAAACGAUGGGUACUAGGCGUCGGGGGGAGCGACCCCUUCGGUGCCGUCGCUAACGCAGUAAGUACCCCGCCUGGGGAGUACGGCCGCAAGGCUG
rnacentral:rRNA from 1 species